UACGUAGGGUGCGAGCGUUGUCCGGAAUUACUGGGCGUAAAGAGCUCGUAGGUGGUUUGUCGCGUUGUUCGUGAAAACCGGGGGCUUAACCCUCGGCGUGCGGGCGAUACGGGCAGACUUGAGUACUGCAGGGAGACUGGAAUUCCUGGUGUAGCGGUGGAAUGCGCAGAUAUCAGGAGGAACACCGAUGGCGAAGGCAGUUCUCUGGGCCGUAACUGACGCGUGAGGAGCGAAAGCGUGGGGAGCGAACAGG
rnacentral:rRNA from 1 species